GGCGGGGUGGAGAAGGUGGUUAUCUCGUUUGGCUCAUGACCAAAAGAUCGCAGGGUUCGACUCCCUGCCCCCGCCACCA
rnacentral:tRNA from 1 species